rnacentral:tRNA from 1 species
GGGGAUGUGGCUCAAGCGGUAGAGUGCUUCCCUGCCAUGGGCGGGGUGCUGGGUUCAAUCCUCAGCACCACA